rnacentral:rRNA from 1 species
GACGAACGCUGGCGGCGUGCUUAACACAUGCAAGUCGAACGGAAAGGCCCUGCUUUUGUGGGGUGCUCGAGUGGCGAAAGGGUGAGUAACACGUGAGUAACCUGCCCUUGACUUUGGGAUAACUUCAGGAAACUGGGGCUAAUACCGGAUAGGAGCUCCUGCUGCCUGGUGGGGGUUGGAAAGUUUCGGCGGUUGGGGAUGGACUCGGGGCUUAUCAGCUUGUUGGUGGGGUAGUGGCUUACCAAGGCUUUGACGGGUAGCCGGCCUGGGGGGGUGACCGGCCACAUUGGGACUGAGAUACGGCCCAAACUCCUACGGGAGGCAGCAGUGGGGAAUAGUGCACAAUGGGCGGAAGCCUUAUGCAGCAACGCCGCGUGCGGGAUGACGGCCUCCGGGUUGUAAACCGCUUUCGCCUGUGACGAAGCGUGAGUGACGGUAAUGGGUAAAGAAACACCGGCUAACUACGUG